AAUACGAUUUCAAUUUCUAUUCUUGUGUUUUAGUUUUACUUGGUGAUUGUAGGAUUGUGGUUCUUUGAUUAUGCUUGUAACUUCACUGGCCCGUACUUUCUAUUACCUUACAAGUUACAAGUAACAACUAUGGCACUUGCCCCUUCUUUUAAUGUCCAUUAAUAAACUUUUAAGUUCAACUUAAAACUGGCACCCUUGAGUUUGUAAAUCUCAGACUACGUUACCUAUCUUGCAUUUUCAGCGUUAUAGUGUUUGUCGAAUUGAAGGUUUGAUCUCUAUUAGUUCCAAGCAGAUGGAGAUAGUGAGGAAGUUGGCUACGGAUUGCUUUAAGUAUGGCACUGAGAAUCAAGGUGGUGGUUACCCUCUGCAGGGCCUUCUCUUCAAUUUGGUAACUCAUGAAACAUUGGAAAACGAGAGACUUUGUUCGGGAUCCUAGGUGAUCCAGCUCAUCUAAGGCUUGACCCUGUUAAAAUGAGAGAAAUGAGAUUAUUGAUGUUUCCUCAUGAGGAAUUGAGUAAUAAAGCAUCCCAUCAGUAAGGAAUAUGCAAGGCCUUUGCAAAAUUCUGCUCAGGCAAUGCCCCAUAGAUCUACUCCACCAAUUGCAAGGAAAACUCCAUUUCCUUUACUUGAAUAUAAACAUGGGAGUUUUGAUGCAAAUUCUCCUGGGUCUAUUUUGAAGGUUCAGCAACAUAAGGGAAUGCCUCCGAAGAC